rnacentral:rRNA from 1 species
UACGUAGGUCCCGAGCGUUGUCCGGAUUUAUUGGGCGUAAAGCGAGCGCAGGUGGUUUAUUAAGUCUGGUGUAAAAGGCAGUGGCUCAACCAUUGUAUGCAUUGGAAACUGGUAGACUUGAGUGCAGGAGAGGAGAGUGGAAUUCCAUGUGUAGCGGUGAAAUGCGUAGAUAUAUGGAGGAACACCGGUGGCGAAAGCGGCUCUCUGGCCUGUAACUGACACUGAGGCUCGAAAGCGUGGGUAUCGAACAGG